rnacentral:rRNA from 1 species
AUUGAACGCUGGCGGCAGGCCUAACACAUGCAAGUCGAGCGGCAGCGGGAAAGUAGCUUGCUACUUUUGCCGGCGAGCGGCGGACGGGUGAGUAAUGCCUGGGAAAUUGCCCAGUCGAGGGGGAUAACAGUUGGAAACGACUGCUAAUACCGCAUACGCCCUACGGGGGAAAGCAGGGGACCUUCGGGCCUUGCGCGAUUGGAUAUGCCCAGGUGGGAUUAGCUAGUGGGUGAGGUAAUGGCUCACCAAGGCGACGAUCCCUAGCUGGUCUGGGAGGAUGAUCAGCCACACUGGAACUGGGAGACGGUCCAGAGUCACACUUGAGGAAGCUGGGGGGAAUAUGGCAUAAUGGGGGAAACCCUGAUGCAGCCAUGCCGCGUGUGUGAAGAAGGCCUUCGCGUUGUAAAGCACUUUCAGCGAGGAGGAAGGGGUGUGUGGCUAACAUCCACCGGAGCUGAGAGUACCGGAAGAAUAAGCACCGGCUAACUACGUGCCAGCCGCCGCUGUAAAAC